UCCCUGGUGGCUCAGUGGUAAGGAAUCUGCCUGCCAAUGCAGGAGACACAGGUUUGAUCCCUGUUCCAGGAA
rfam:TPA: Bos taurus chromosome 13, whole genome shotgun sequence.